UACGUAGGGUCCAAGCGUUAUCCGGAAUCACUGGGCGUAAAGCGUGCGUAGGUGGUUUGUUAAGUGUAUUGCGAAAUCCUGUGGCUCAACCAUAUGGACUGUAAUGCAUACUGGCAAACUAGAGGAUAGCAGAGGCAAGUGGAAUUACCGGUGUAGCAGUGAAAUGCGUAGAGAUCGGUAGGAACACCAAUGGCGAAGGCAGCUUGCUGGGCUAUUUCUGACGCUAAGGCACGAAAGCGUGGGGAGCGAACAGG
rnacentral:rRNA from 1 species